AAUGGUGAUCACGGUGAUAUAAAAAUUGCAUUAAACGGAGGCCGGGAAGGGCCUCAUCGGAGGCAAAAACCGAGGAGGGGCGCGGCGGCGCCGCUGGGUUUCGGCCGUGUUUUCUGGCCAUUUGGCUGGGAUUUUGACUCCGAUUUAGCCACAGGGGAAAUCAGCGUGGAAAAACAAGUCGGGGGUAUGAAAUUUACCUCGAUCGGCGGUCGGAAAUCCCUCCGGUGCGG
rnacentral:lncRNA from 1 species